rnacentral:misc_RNA from 1 species
GAUCAUUACUGAGUUUACGCUCUAUAACCCUUUGUGAACAUACCUAUAACUGUUGCUUCGGCGGGUAGGGUCUCCGCGACCCUCCCGGCCUCCCGCCCCCGGGCGGGUCGGCGCCCGCCGGAGGAUAACCAAACUCUGAUUUAACGACGUUUCUUCUGAGUGGUACAAGCAAAUAAUCAAAACUUUUAACAACGGAUCUCUUGGUUCUGGCAUCGAUGAAGAACGCAGCGAAAUGCGAUAAGUAAUGUGAAUUGCAGAAUUCAGUGAAUCAUCGAAUCUUUGAACGCACAUUGCGCCCGCCAUCAUUCUGGCGGGCAUGCCUGUUCGAGCGUCAUUUCAACCCUCAAGCUCUGCUUGGUGUUGGGGCCCUACAGCUGAUGUAGGCCCUCAAAGGUAGUGGCGGACCCUCCCGGAGCCUCCUUUGCGUAGUAACUUUACGUCUCGCACUGGGAUCCGGAGGGACUCUUGCCGUAAAACCCCCAAUUUUCCAAAGGUUGACCUCGGAUCAGGUAGGAAUACCCGCUGAACUUAAGCAUAUCAAUAAGCGGAGGAAAAGAAACCAACAGGGAUUGCCUCAGUAACGGCGAGUGAAGCGGCAACAGCUCAAAUUUGAAAUCUGGCCCUAGGCCCGAGUUGUAAUUUGCAGAGGAUGCUUUUGGUGCGGUGCCUUCCAAGUUCCCUAGAACGGGACGCCAGAGAGGGUGAGAGCCCCGUACAGUUGGACACCAAGCCUUUGUAAAGCUCCUUCGACGAGUCGAGUAGUUUGGGAAUGCUGCUCAAAAUGGGAGGUAUAUUUCUUCUAAAGCUAAAUACCGGCCAGAGACCGAUAGCGCACAAGUAGAGUGAUCGAAAGAUGAAAAGCACUUUGAAAAGAGGGUUAAACAGCACGUGAAAUUGUUAAAAGGGAAGCGCUUGUGACCAGACUUGCGUCCGGUGAAUCACCCAGCUCUCGCGGCUGGGGCACUUCGCCGGCUCAGGCCAGCAUCAGCUCGCUGUCGGGGACAAAAGCUUCAGGAACGUAGCUCUCUUCGGGGAGUGUUAUAGCCUGUUGCAUAAUACCCUUCGGCGGGCUGAGGUACGC